GAGUAACACGUAUGCAAUCCACCUGUAACAGGGGGAUAACCCGGAGAAAUCCGGACUAAUACCCCAUAAUAUGGGCGCUCCGCAUGGAGGGCUCAUUAAAGAAAGCAAUUUUGGUUACAGACGAGCAUGCGCUCCAUUAGCCAGUUGGCGGGGUAACGGCCCACCAAAGCGACGAUGGAUAGGGGUUCUGAGAGGAAGGUCCCCCACAUUGGAACUGAGACACGGUCCAAACUCCUACGGGAGGCAGCAGUGAGGAAUAUUGGUCAAUGGUCGGCAGACUGAACCAGCCAAGUCGCGUGAGGGAAGACGGCCCUACGGGUUGUAAACCUCUUUUGUCGGAGAGUAAAGUGCGCUACGCGUAGCGUAUUGCAAGUAUCCGAAGAAAAAGCAUCGGCUAACUCCGUGCCAGCAGCCGCGGUAAUACGGAGGAUGCAAGCGUUAUCCGGAUUUAUUGGGUUUAAAGGGUGCGUAGGCGGCACGCCAAGUCAGCGGUGAAAUUUCCGGGCUCAACCCGGAAUGUGCCGUUGAAACUGGCGAGCUAGAGUACACAAGAGGCAGGCGGAAUGCGUGGUGUAGCGGUGAAAUGCAUAGAUAUCACGCAGAACCCCGAUUGCGAAGGCAGCCUGCUAGGGUGAAACAGACGCUGAGGCACGAAAGCGUGGGUAUCGAACAGGAUUAGAUACCCUGGUAGUCCACGCAGUAAACGAUGAAUACUAAUUGUUUGCGAUACAAUGUAAGCGGUACAG
rnacentral:rRNA from 1 species